AUUGAACGCUGGCGGCAUGCCUUACACAUGCAAGUCGAACGGCAGCGGACCUUCGGGUGCCGGCGAGUGGCGAACGGGUGAGUAAUAUAUCGGAACGUACCUUUCAGUGGGGGAUAACGUAGCGAAAGUUACGCUAAUACCGCAUAUUCUGUGAGCAGGAAAGCAGGGGAUCGCAAGACCUUGCGCUGAUUGAGCGGCCGAUAUCAGAUUAGCUAGUUGGUGAGGUAAAGGCUCACCAAGGCGACGAUCUGUAGCGGGUCUGAGAGGAUGAUCCGCCACACUGGAACUGAGACACGGUCCAGACUCCUACGGGAGGCAGCAGUGGGGAAUUUUGGACAAUGGGCGCAAGCCUGAUCCAGCCAUGCCGCGUGAGUGAAGAAGGCCUCGGUUGUAAGACUACUUCGUCCGGGUACGAAGUACG
rnacentral:rRNA from 1 species